ensembl:snRNA U2 U2 spliceosomal RNA
UGUCCUCCAUAGGAGGUCUAUAUUGAGCAGAUUCUUUUUGGUAUUGGGUGGUGGAACCGGAGCGUGCUCCAUCCACUCCAUGCAUUGACCUGGUAUUGCAGUGCUUCCAGGACUGGUGC